rnacentral:rRNA from 1 species
GAUGAACGCUGGCGGCGUGCCUAAUACAUGCAAGUCGAGCGAACGGACGAGAAGCUUGCUUCUCUGAUGUUAGCGGCGGACGGGUGAGUAACACGUGGAUAACCUACCUAUAAGACUGGGAUAACUUCGGGAAACCGUAGCUAAUACCGGAUAAUAUUUUGAACCGCAUGGUUCAAAAGUGAAAGACGGUCUUGCUGUCACUUAUAGAUGGAUCCGCGCUGCAUUAGCUAGUUGGUAAGGUAACGGCUUACCAAGGCAACGAUGCAUAGCCGACCUGAGAGGGUGAUCGGCCACACUGGAACUGAGACACGGUCCAGACUCCUACGGGAGGCAGCAGUAGGGAAUCUUCCGCAAUGGGCGAAAGCCUGACGGAGCGACGCCGCGUGAGUGAUGAAGGUCUUCGGAUCGUAAAACUCUGUUAUUAGGGAAGAACAUAUGUGUAAGUAACUGUGCACAUCUUGACGGUACCUAAUCAGAAAGCCACGGCUAACUACGUG